rnacentral:miRNA from 1 species
CUGGUUUUCAUAAUGAUUUGACA